CCUACGGGUGGCAGCAGUGAGGAAUAUUGGUCAAUGGACGCAAGUCUGAACCAGCCAUGCCGCGUGCAGGAUGACGGCCCUAUGGGUUGUAAACUGCUUUUGUACGAGGGUAAACUCCGAUACGUGUAUCGGGUUGAAAGUAUCGUACGAAUAAGGAUCGGCUAACUCCGUGCCAGCAGCCGCGGUAAUACGGAGGAUCCGAGCGUUAUCCGGAUUUAUUGGGUUUAAAGGGUGCGUAGGCGGGUUGUUAAGUGAGUUGUGAAAUGUGGGGGCUCAACCCCGAAACUGCCUCUAAUACUGUUGGACUAGAGAAUAGUUGCGGUAGGCGGAAUGUGUGGUGUAGCGGUGAAAUGCUUAGAGAUCACACAGAACACCGAUUGCGAAGGCAGCUUACCAAACUAUCACUGACGUUGAUGCACGAAAGCGUGGGUAGCAAACAGGAUUAGAUACCCCUGUAGUC
rnacentral:rRNA from 1 species